GAGCGCGGGGCGGGGCCGAGGCGGCGAGUGUCUGGGCGAGCGUGGCUGGGCCCGGUCCUGGGCUGGGGGCAGGGGCUAGGGCCGGGUCCCGGGGUGAGCCGAAACCUGGGGGUCGGGCGGGGCGGGAAAUGGGGCGCAGUGAGGCUGGGAGCCGGCCCUGAGCUCGUCCUGCGUAGGGGUAGCCGGGCUCAGGGGGCGCCUGAGCUGGAGGUGGAAGCGUGAAGUCAGGACUGAGUGGGCGAAGAGAACCUGGGCUGAGCAGACAUGGCCGCUUACCAACAAGAAGGGCAGAUGCAGCUUCCCCGAGCUGAUGCCAUUCGUUCACGUCUCAUCGAUACUUUCUCUCUCAUCGAGCAUUUGCAAGGCUUGAGCCAAGCUGUGCUGCGACACACUAUCAGGAGUUACUUGAUCCUUCCCGCCAGAAGAAACUUAUGUUGGGAGAUCAACACCAGCUAGUGGGCGUCUCUAUAAAGCCUCAACGUAUAGAACAGAUUUCACAUGCCCAGAGGCUGUUGAGCAGGCUUCAUGUGCGCUGCAGUCAGAGGCCACCUCUUUCUUUGUGGGCCGGAUGGGUCCUUGAGUAAUUGCUGGAAUCCACAAAUACCAAACUAUGGCCAUUGAAGCUGACCUUGGAGGGGGCAGCUUGGUUUAUCUUGCUUAUUUUCAUCCUGGAGAUCCUUCUUAAGUGGCUAUCCAACUUUUCUGUUUUCUGGAAGAGUGCCUGGAAUGUCUUUGACUUUGUUGUUACCAUGUUGGUAAGGAUAGAGAUCCUGAGGGUUCGUUUAGUGGGAUGAAGAAUGUGCCUAGGUGAAUCGAAAGAACAAGUUAACAUGAUAAUAGGAAGAAACAAAAAUUUACUUAACUUCUUUCUUUUGAUUUUUUUUUCCUAAAACUAAACAUCAAUCAUUGCAGGAGUUGUUGGUAUUAGGAGCAAAGUAGACUAACUACAACAUCAAUGCCAACAAGAGCAUCUGCCGGUUACUGAGCACUUACUAAGUGCCAAGCACUAUUUUAAGUGUUUUCCUUACAUUAUCUCAUUUAUGCUCCACAACAACCUAAUUAAAUAACCAUGAAUUUUAUCCCCCUUUUUAUAUCUGAACAAGUUGAAGUAUAGUGUUUAAGCAACUUAAUAUAGAAAGGCUGAAUAGUAAGCACUUCUCAGAGAAUGCUAUUCAAAGGAUAACGCCCAGGGAACAAUGAAGAGGAUAAGAUGAAGAAGCUGCAAUUCUGCCUGGGUGCCUUGGGGUGUAUUUUACUUAUAACCUGUGUGUUUUCCACAGUCCCUGCUUCCCGAGGUUGUGGUAUUGGUAGGGGUAACAGGCCAAUCGGUGUGGCUUCAGCUUCUGAGGAUCUGCCGGGUGCUGAGGUCUCUCAAACUCCUUGCACAAUUCCGUCAAAUUCGAGUUAUUAUUUUGGUCCUGGUCAGGGCCCUCAAGGUGAUUUGACUGUUGCAAGCUAAAGCAGGGGGCAAGGUAGAUAAAUGUGAGGGCUUAACAUAGAAUAUGAAACAAAUUGGCCGGGUGCGGUGGCUCAUGCCUGUAAUCCCAGCACUUUGGGAGGCCGAGGGGGAUGGGUCAUGAGGUCAGGAGUUCGAGACCAGCCUGACCAACAUGGUGAAACCCUGUCUCUACUAAAAAUACCAAAAAAAAAAAAAAAA
ensembl:lncRNA CATSPER2P1 CATSPER2 pseudogene 1